GGGGGUGACAGGAUUCGACGGAAAGUUCGCACGUUUAAAAAUGGUCAGGGCGGAUCUAUUCGAUAAAUAGAAAAACCAUAACUGCUAAAGACAAAUUUAGCGAGAUUAAGGAAACAGCAGCUGGCCUUCUUGGUCAGUUGUCCGGGCGAAUGGCCGUAGCUAAUCUUAGCUAUGCUCCACUCGUUGCGUAAUUCCUUACGCUCCUUCUACAGAAAUUUUCUCGAUUUUCAUUCUGUAGGGGAAAACCAAUCGAGAUAGGAUUUGAGAGGAGAUCCCGAUUUGCCUCUCGAGUCCGACAACCCACUAAUCGGCGGCUUAUCAAUGUUUGAUUGUUUCUAACGGUAAGCAUGGAAUCAAUACACAAUCUAUCCUUGACUAAACAUAUUUAAAAGUGUCUUUUCGGACCCGGGUUCAACUCUCGGCACCUCCACCG
rnacentral:tmRNA from 1 species